rnacentral:rRNA from 1 species
AUGCUGGAGGUAUCAGAAGUGCGAAUGCUGACAUAAGUAACGAUAAAGCGGGUGAAAAGCCCGCUCGCCGGAAGACCAAGGGUUCCUGUCCAACGUUAAUCGGGGCAGGGUGAGUCGACCCCUAAGGCGAGGCCGAAAGGCGUAGUCGAUGGGAAACAGGUUAAUAUUCCUGUACUUGGUGUUACUGCGAAGGGGGGACGGAGAAGGCUAUGUUGGCCGGGCGACGGUUGUCCCGGUUUAAGCGUGUAGGCUGGUUUUCCAGGCAAAUCCGGAAAAUCAAGGCUGAGGCGUGAUGACGAGGCACUACGGUGCUGAAGCAACAAAUGCCCUGCUUCCAGGAAAAGCCUCUAAGCAUCAGGUAACAUCAAAUCGUACCCCAAACCGACACAGGUGGUCAGGUAGAGAAUACCAAGGCGCUUGAGAGAACUCGGGUGAAGGAACUAGGCAAAAUGGUGCCGUAACUUCGGGAGAAGGCACGCUGAUAUGUAGGUGAAGUCCCUCGCGGAUGGAGCUGAAAUCAGUCGAAGAUACCAGCUGGCUGCAACUGUUUAUUAAAAACACAGCACUGUGCAAACACGAAAGUGGACGUAUACGGUGUGACGCCUGCCCGGUGCCGGAAGGUUAAUUGAUGGGGUUAGCGCAAGCGAAGCUCUUGAUCGAAGCCCCGGUAAACGGCGGCCGUAACUAUAACGGUCCUAAGGUAGCGAAAUUCCUUGUCGGGUAAGUUCCGACCUGCACGAAUGGCGUAAUGAUGGCCAGGCUGUCUCCACCCGAGACUCAGUGAAAUUGAACUCGCUGUGAAGAUGCAGUGUACCCGCGGCAAGACGGAAAGACCCCGUGAACCUUUACUAUAGCUUGACACUGAACAUUGAGCCUUGAUGUGUAGGAUAGGUGGGAGGCUUUGAAGUGUGGACGCCAGUCUGCAUGGAGCCGACCUUGAAAUACCACCCUUUAAUGUUUGAUGUUCUAACGUUGACCCGUAAUCCGGGUUGCGGACAGUGUCUGGUGGGUAGUUUGACUGGGGCGGUCUCCUCCUAAAGAGUAACGGAGGAGCACGAAGGUUGGCUAAUCCUGGUCGGACAUCAGGAGGUUAGUGCAAUGGCAUAAGCCAGCUUGACUGCGAGCGUGACGGCGCGAGCAGGUGCGAAAGCAGGUCAUAGUGAUCCGGUGGUUCUGAAUGGAAGGGCCAUCGCUCAACGGAUAAAAGGUACUCCGGGGAUAACAGGCUGAUACCGCCCAAGAGUUCAUAUCGACGGCGGUGUUUGGCACCUCGAUGUCGGCUCAUCACAUCCUGGGGCUGAAGUAGGUCCCAAGGGUAUGGCUGUUCGCCAUUUAAAGUGGUACGCGAGCUGGGUUUAGAACGUCGUGAGACAGUUCGGUCCCUAUCUGCCGUGGGCGCUGGAGAACUGAGGGGGGCUGCUCCUAGUACGAGAGGACCGGAGUGGACGCAUCACUGGUGUUCGGGUUGUCAUGCCAAUGGCACUGCCCGGUAGCUAAAUGCGGAAGAGAUAAGUGCUGAAAGCAUCUAAGCACGAAACUUGCCCCGAGAUGAGUUCUCCCUGACCCUUUAAGGGUCCUGAAGGAACGUUGAAGACGACGACGUUGAUAGGCCGGGUGUGUAAGCGCAGCGAUGCGUUGAGCUAACCGGUACUAAUGAACCGUGAGGCUUAACC